rnacentral:rRNA from 1 species
AAAUUGAAGAGUUUGAUCAUGGCUCAGAUUGAACGCUGGCGGCAGGCCUAACACAUGCAAGUCGAACGGUAACAGGAAGAAGCUUGCUUCUUUGCUGACGAGUGGCGGACGGGUGAGUAAUGUCUGGGAAACUGCCUGAUGGAGAGGGAUAACUACUGGAAACGGUAGCUAAUACCGCAUAACGUCGCAAGACCAAAGAGGGGGACCUUCAGGCCUCUUGCCAUC